AUGUUAUGGAGAGACCAGGACUCGAGAAGACAGGACCAUGCUAAUGUAGAGCUGGAAAAUACUUGGCACUACGCAGAGCAUGAAAGUGAGCUCCCGCCUCACCAGCAGAAGCCAGUCACUCCAGCAUGCGUAGAGUGGUGUACCACUGCUGCCUCAACUGCCCAUCCUUCUGCCAAUGGCUGGAUGACUCAACUCCCAGAAUCUUCUCAAAAAUGUGAGGUAGAUAUCAAUUCAGAAGACAUUCACCUAACUGCAGGAGUCAACAGGCCUGGGCAAGAGGGUGGUAUGCCAAAAUAACCUUUGAUCUAGUCCUGCCAUGGAGCUGAUUUGCAUGUGCUCUUCUUCAUAUUUCAUUUACCUAUGGCUCCAUUUUCCUAUCUGCAAAAGAGGGACACUAAUAUUGUCCUUGCUUGUAAAAUACUUUGACGCAGACAAGAAAAACAAUAAAGUUUAGCUGUUAUUUAUCA
rnacentral:lncRNA from 1 species